AGAGUUUGAUCCUGGCUCAGGAUGAACGCUAGCUACAGGCUUAACACAUGCAAGUCGAGGGGCAUCAGUUUGGUUUGCUUGCAAACCAAAGCUGGCGACCGGCGCACGGGUGAGUAACACGUAUCCAACCUGCCUCAUACUCGGGGAUAGCCUUUCGAAAGAAAGAUUAAUAUCCGAUAGCAUAUAUUUCCCGCAUGGGUUUUAUAUUAAAGAAAUUCGGUAUGAGAUGGGGAUGCGUUCCAUUAGUUUGUUGGGGGGGUAACGGCCCACCAAGACUACGAUGGAUAGGGGUUCUGAGAGGAAGGUCCCCCACAUUGGAACUGAGACACGGUCCAAACUCCUACGGGAGGCAGCAGUGAGGAAUAUUGGUCAAUGGACGAGAGUCUGAACCAGCCAAGUAGCGUGAAGGAUGACUGCCCUAUGGGUUGUAAACUUCUUUUAUAAAGGAAUAAAGUCGGGUAUGUAUACCCGUUUGCAUGUACUUUAUGAAUAAGGAUCGGCUAACUCCGUGCCAGCAGCCGCGGUAAUACGGAGGAUCCGAGCGUUAUCCGGAUUUAUUGGGUUUAAAGGGAGCGUAGGCGGAUUGUUAAGUCAGUUGUGAAAGUUUGCGGCUCAACCGUAAAAUUGCAGUUGAUACUGGAUAUCUUGAGUGCAGUUGAGGCAGGCGGAAUUCGUGGUGUAGCGGUGAAAUGCUUAGAUAUCACGAAGAACUCCGAUUGCGAAGGCAGCUCACUGGAGUGUAACUGACGCUGAUGCUCGAAAGUGUGGGUAUCAAACAGGAUUAGAUACCCUGGUAGUCCACACAGUAAACGAUGAAUACUCGCUGUUUGCGAUAUACAGUAAGCGGCCAAGCGAAAGCAUUAAGUAUUCCACCUGGGGAGUACGCCGGCAACGGUGAAACUCAAAGGAAUUGACGGGGGCCCGCACAAGCGGAGGAACAUGUGGUUUAA
rnacentral:rRNA from 1 species